GAAGAGAACAAAAGCCUUUGUUUUUUUUUCUAUAUAUUUAAGGCAACCUGAAGAUACCUCUAGGAAAAGACGAAUCAUCGCCAAGAAGAAACCGCUCAUCUCUCAAUUUCCUCCUUUCUUUCUUUCUUUCUGUGUAUGUUGUAGGUCUCUGCGUAAAGACGAAGAAAGGCUCUUGUUAAAGAUGAAGAAAUUGGAGGUUGUAUCAGAAAGAUUGGGGAGAGUUGUAAAUGAAGAUGAAGGUAUUGGCACGGCUCAAUGUAAAGACGUGGCUAGGGUUUUAUUAGCCAUGUAUUUUCAUUGAGCCGCGUCAAUAUCUCCUUUUGCACCUCUCUCCCACCUGUUCUGGGCUUGAAAAUUAAUUUCUGCUUCGAGUUCUGCAGAUUUAUAUUGACGGCGAAUAGAAGAUAGAGACAUAUGUAAAGAGGAAAGACAGAAACAAAACGUUACGAAUACUCAAGAAAAUAGUAGACAACUGUUACGAUAUUUAUUAUCGAUAGUGAGAGAGAGGAGAAACAGACAAAGAAAAUGAAGGAAUCGACAACCUCUGAGACACCGUAAGCUAGCUGGUUUGGCCGGAACCAUAACUGCAAGUUUAUUGGGACCUACGAUCCCUUACUUUCAGUUGGGUUGGCAUUAAAUUCGAUUCCUUCUUCAGCCCUACUUCAAUUAGUACUUCAUCUUUGUGAAUUAUGAUGUUUGUCCAACAAGUCUCUUUGUACAUGAUAUUAGAUAUAUGGUACAAACACUAGCUACCUAGGGUUUUUUUAUAUAGUAUAGAAACCAAACUCAUAUUAAACUACAUUAAUAGGCUCAUCUAUUUAGUUUUGGGUU